ACCACUUCUCAAGCUUUGGGCUAAAUUCCAGUGUAGUAUUUUGUUUUUGUCAGUUUAAUAUCUUAUGUGUCCUCUAUUUGAGGGCAAUACAUUAAAUGGAUUUUUAGAAAUAAGAGAUGAAAUGGGAAUUUGCUCCAUCAACUUCAUUCAUUGACUUGGUAUUGCAAUACUUCUAGGACUGGUACAAGAACA
ensembl:snRNA U2 U2 spliceosomal RNA